rnacentral:other from 1 species
UUAUGCCUGAGGUGUACGCGCGCUAGUUACGUCCCUGAGCCGAUAUCUAAAACUCUUUGAGUCCAGUUUUCGCUGUUGGUGUGCAAGCUCGUUCAUUCGAGAAGCCUAAAGAUGGUUAUACAGACUCCCUUGAACCGUAUGGUUCAGGACUACUCUAGUAACGGCACUUCGGGUUCUU